CGUUUGACUAAAGCCCUUCAAGCAUGACCGCACAGAAAAACAAAUAACACACCCACGCUCACAGAUAUCGUAGACUGAUCCAUGGAAAGGCCAAUCAACUGAAUCAGCAGUAAAUCAUUUCUACUUCUCUCUUACAGACGGACUGCCUACUCUCAACUGCUACUACAAUGGCCUCUGCUUUUCAGAGCUAGCUGUUUUUUGUGCUACCCUACAUUCAGGUGCUCUCAACUCACCUAUCAUCAAUAAUAUGCAAUCCCGCUCAGCCCCCGUACAAUCACUACCUUAAUCCCUCUGCUCUAGAACGCCAGUCCUCUGAAAUUCCCUCCUUGGUCAUAUCUCUCCUCUAGGCAUCAACAUGCAACAGUUUAAGCUGAAAGUUAAUGGCAUUAAUUUCAUUGAUCUUGCUAAGUAAAAAAACAAACAAACAAAAACAACAGCGUAUGUCCUCGCAUACGCUGACACACGCAGAAAUAUGCGUAUCGCCUAGCAAUGUCACAACCGGUUAAAAAGAAAACAUCUUGAUGUAAAGCAACAGUAUGAUCGAUCAAAGGAAUGUUUCUGUUAAGUUAAAUUAUUUAUUGGAGAGGAUGAGACAUCUGCCGCUUUGUUUACAUUAAAAACCAACAGAUCAGGAAGGCUUACAGUUUAUUGAACAACUGAAAAGUUGUUGGCUGAUACUUAACCAAACAUCAUUAAUAACGUUUAAUUACAAUUCACUGUUUAUGAUUUAAGAAGCUUUAUGCUCGAUCAAAUCCGCAGGAUAUACAAUUCAGUAGGAGGCGUUAGAUGAAGCAUGCAAGAUGCAAUAGGAGUACUAUCAAGAGAUCUAACUAAAACCCUUUGGAAUUGAAUCAAGUGGGAGACUUCAGUUAAGUGGCAAAAGCACAAAAACAAAAAACAAAAGAGAGAGUAAGUGAUAUAAAAGAGGUGACCAAAUAAGUGAGCAGUGAGAAGACAGUCAACAGUAGCAGAAAGUCGGACUGCUGUGACCACAAGUUCGUAGUAUACAUACGAACACAUUAAACUGGAUGACCAUUAACGCCGACUGAUCCAUGUGGAAUUUAAGCAGCCUAAGUUUACUGUUUCCUUUCCUGGACUGGAACUACAAAUACAGUAAAUGCUGCAACAUCAAUAAAUUAAGAAAGAAGUAGCCAAUCAAGUGGUAUAAAAUCUCAAAAUGACAUACAGAGAAUUACUAAAUGUCUUUGACAAAGACUCUUCCUCUAAAUGUCAUCAAUGCAGUAGUAAUAUUUUGUUCUCACUCAUACUAUUUACUGGAAUCUCUCAAAUUGGUUUGAGUAUUGGCCUUUUAUUUCUGUGUAGAAAUCAGAUAAGUGAGGUAUCUUGUGCUUUCUCACUAAAAGCUCACCCUUGUACAGGUUUAGCCGCCCCUGUCUAUAUUGGAUGUCUUAUUCUCUGCAUAGCAAUUUUUGGAUUUGCUUGUCUUGGUCGGCGAGCAUCAGCAGCACUACUUUUACUCAUUACUGUUGGUGACAUUUGCCUGGGUUUUAUGCAAUUAGCAAGUGAGAAAAUUCUGUUCACUGACUAUUUUAAUACAUUUAAUUCAAGAGAAAUAUGUCAAUCUGCCCAACAAAAUUCAUCUCAACUUUUACAGUGCUGGAACCAUAUUACACAUCUAUACCCAGCCUGUAGUAUAUAUGAACAUGAGAUAACCAAUGACUGUGUUCACAGCUAUAAUAUUUACUUCAAUCGAUCAAGUCAAUCUGAAAGUAACAGAACUACUGUGCCAUGCAUUAGUGAUGUAAAUAGAUUGGUCAGUUCAACUUAUACGGACUUCCGAUUUAUGUGUGGCCCUAUUGUAUUACUCAAUGCUUUUGUCUGUGUCAUUCUUAUACUAUUUCUAGAGUUUUUUCAUCAACAGAAACAGAAUAGUAAGAAACAGCAACAUGACUUAGCAGCACUGGAAGGAAUUUAUGAAAUUUCUGAACAAAAGUAAUAAAAAUAUUUAUUCAAUGUCAAUAACUUACAUGGAUAUCCUCAUAAUCGUACUUCGGUUCACAUUCUAUUUUACUAAAUAAGCCAACUUUUGGUGAUCAUUCUAAAUUGAAUUAAAAGUAUUUUCUAAUACUAAUAAUAUUGAAUUUUCGUCUCUGUUUUUAGAAGGACAUUAACUAAAGAUCUAAAGUGUCAAACAGACCAUAUGUAUUAUAUAUUUAUAUACAUAUUUAUUUAAAUACUGAGUGUAUUUUAUUUAAUCUAAAUAAGAACUAAAUAGCAAGUCAUAGAAAGCAUAUUCAGGUUGCCUUUCUGCCAUAAUUUUAUAAGAAAUCUCAACUUCAAAAUGAUAAAAUUAGUUAUUUUACUAAAUCCUUACAAAUUCUAGAUUAUUUCAAAUUUUAAUUGAAGCAUGUUAGUAGUGUUUUGUUAGAAACAUGAUUAUAAAAGAAUUAAAUUUAAUGAUUCGACCAACCAAAGCCAGAAUGGAAAAUGGAUAUAACUUGCAAAAAAAAAAGA
rnacentral:lncRNA from 1 species